GAAGGAAGAGUGUCUAAAAGGGGCUUCGGACCUCACGAAUUUGAAAGAAUUCCGAUCUCCAUUCGCCUUCUCUAUUCAACGUGAUCUCUCGAUACUCUCUGUCGCUCUCGGCUAUCGAUCUCAAUGGAAUCCUUUGUUUCUGGGUAUUUCAUAUUUACCUGCAGCCAAGAAUUUAGCUUGAAGACGCAUCCAUCGAGCAAGAAAAAGUCACACUAACAUCUAUGGGAACUGCAAUGACAAGAGUAUGUAAUGCCAAGGUGUAUCUUGCGCAAGUAAAGAAGAGGAAGCAUGCAUGUAGAUCUCUAUCCAAAUUUUCCUGUAGAUAAACAACUUGGGGAAUGCUAGCAACAAUAAUUGGAGAACAAGUAGAAUGGCUAUGCUAUUUGACUGUCUACCCAAAGAAACUUGGGAAGAC